AUUGAACGCUGGCGGCAGGCCUAACACAUGCAAGUCGAGCGGAUGAAGGGAGCUUGCUCCUGGAUUCAGCGGCGGACGGGUGAGUAAUGCCUAGGAAUCUGCCUGGUAGAGGGGAAUAACGUCCGGAAACGGGCGCUAAUACCGCAUACGUCCUGAGGGAGAAAGUGGGGGAUCUUCGGACCUCACGCUAUCAGAUGAGCCUAGGUCGGAUUAGCUAGUUGGUGGGGUAAAGGCCUACCAAGGCGACGAUCCGUAACUGGUCUGAGAGGAUGAUCAGUCACACUGGAACUGAGACACGGUCCAGACUCCUACGGGAGGCAGCAGUGGGGAAUAUUGGACAAUGGGCGAAAGCCUGAUCCAGCCAUGCCGCGUGUGUGAAGAAGGUCUUCGGAUUGUAAAGCACUUUAAGUUGGGAGGAAGGGCAGUAAGUUAAUACCUUGCUGUUUUGACGUUACCAACAGAAUAAGCACCGGCUAACUUCGUG
rnacentral:rRNA from 1 species